GACGAACGCUGGCGGCGUGCUUAACACAUGCAAGUCGAACGGAAAGGCCCUGCUUUUGUGGGGUGCUCGAGUGGCGAACGGGUGAGUAACACGUGAGUAACCUGCCCUUGACUUUGGGAUAACUUCAGGAAACUGGGGCUAAUACCGGAUAGGAGCUCCUGCUGCAUGGUGGGGGUUGGAAAGUUUCGGCGGUUGGGGAUGGACUCGCGGCUUAUCAGCUUGUUGGUGGGGUAGUGGCUUACCAAGGCUUUGACGGGUAGCCGGCCUGAGAGGGUGACCGGCCACAUUGGGACUGGGAUACGGCCCAGACUCCUACGGGAGGCAGCAGUGGGGUAUAUUGCACAAUGGGCGGAAGCCUGAUGCAGUAACGCCGCGUGCGGGAUGUCGGCCUUCGGGUUGUAAACCGCUUUCGCCUGUGACGAAGCGUGAGUGACGGUAAUGGGUAAAGAAGCACCGGCUAACUACGUG
rnacentral:rRNA from 1 species